CUCUGAUGGUAGUUUCUUUUGCUGUGCAGAAGCUCUUUAGUUUAAUUAGAUCCCAUUUGUCAAUUUUGGCUUUUGUUGCCAUUGCUUAUCUAGAAAACCCCAUUGUCUCAGCCCAAAAUCUCCUUAAGCUGAUAAGCAACUUCAGCAAAGUCUCAGGAUACAAAAUCAAUGUACAAAAAUCACAAGCAUUCUUAUACACCAACAACAGACAAACAGAGAGCCAAAUCAUGAGUGAACUCCCAUUCACAAUUGCUUCAAAGAGAAUAAAAUACCUAGGAAUCCAACUUACAGGGGAUGUGAAGGACCUCUUCAAGAAGAACUACAAACCACUGCUCAAGGAGUUAAAAGAGGAUACAAACAAAUGGAAGAACAUUCCAUGCUCAUGGGUAGGAAGAAUCAAUAUCGUGAAAAUGGCCAUACUGCCCAAGGUAAUUUACAGAUUCAAUGCCAUCCCCAUAAAGCUACCAAUGACUUUCUUCACAGAAUUGGAAAAAACUACUUUAAAGUUCAUAUGGAACCAAAAAAGAGCCCGCAUCACCAAGUCAAUCCUGAGCUGAAAGAACAAAGCUGGAGGCAUCACACUACCUGACUUCAAACUAUACUACAAGGCUACAGUAACCAAAACAGCAUGGUACUGGUACUAAAACAGAGAUAUAGAUCAAUGGAACAGAACAGAGCCCUCAGAAAUCACGCCGCAUAUCUACAACUAUCUGAUCUUUGACAAACCUGAGAAAAAGAAGCAAUGGGGAAAGGAUUCCCUAUUUAAUAAAUGGUGCUGGGAAAACUGGCUAGCCAUAUGUAGAAAGCUGAAACUGGAUCCCUUCCUUACACCUUAUACAAAAAUCAAUUCAAGAUGGAUUAAAGACUUAAACGUUAGACCUAAAACCAUAAAAACCCUAGAAGAAAACCUAGGCAUUACCAUUCAGGACAUAGGCAUGGGCAAGGACUUCAUGUCUAAAACACCAAAACUUCUGGUUUUUAAAAAUUGUUGUUGUUUUGGGUCUUGCGGUAAUAUUCACGUUUUUAAAUUGUAUACAUUGAUACUACAAAGAAUUAAGAAAGUAAACGUAAAGUACAUUUGGAAUGUUGAGAAAAACAUACUUCCCUAUAAUGGCUGGUGUGACAACUUGGAAAAAUCCCUAACAGAUAAGCAUUCUAUCUUCAAUUUAUAUGUGAGGAAAUUAAAGCCCACAGAGACUGUGCAGGUUGACAAAGUUAUUCAGUGACAGAGCCAGGCAACAAACCCAGUCUUUCUGCUUUCCUGUUUCAGGGAUCCUCAUAAUACCUCCCAAAUUCUCAUUAUCUAGCUUGUAUUUGUCAUGUUGCUUUAAAUAAUAUCAUCCACACAGAAACAACUUUAAAAAACUGAAAAUAGAAAAUGACGUCCUUCAUUAGGCAUGGCCGAGCUAGAUGAACAGAUUCUAACGAUAUCUUAGAUCUCUGUUGCACCCCUGUUUUGAAGACACUGAGGAAUGGAGAUGAACAUUCAGAAGCAGACUUUGUGCCAUCUUUGCUGGAGCUCUCACAAGACAUUUCCGUGAAGCAAUUAUAGAGCAAGUAGAGCCUCAACUCAAUGAUAGGCCCAACGCUAAAUGACGAGGUAACGAUUUCUUCAGGAACUGAGGAGAGACAGGCCUGGAAAAGUUGCAAUGAUUUUCUUCCCAACUAUUAAGAAGAGAAAUAAUAUGAAAGAGGAAUCUUUUCUGAGACAUGUUCACAAGCAGGUCGGACCUUUCAUUCAGAACAAGAUUAUUUUAAUUUUUAAUGGUUUAAGAUAUAAUUGAUUCAUUUCUUAAAUUAGUUCAUCUUGCUGAAGCCAUUAUAAUAUUAAUUCACUGUUAUUUUUGGUAAUACAGAUCAUUUAUUUAGAAGCCAGGAAUAUACAAGGGAAGGGCAUAUUCAGAAGUAACUAACACCACUACAAGUUUAGGACCUUUCCAUUUUAUUGAAUUGGGUUUUAUUUAAAAUUUGUAUCUCUUUUUUUGUCAUUCUUGUGUCUAAUAUGUUUUCAUUCCUUAAAUCUGCUCUGCAUGUGUUCUGUUCACAAUAUUUAAACAUACAAAUUUUAUCUUAAAUUUUACACCAAACAGAAAUUCUCUCAAUGUAUUAUAGAGGAAAUUUAAAACAUAGGUUGCAAAGAAUUAAUUUUAUGUGCAAAUACCAUUCCUAUUCAGUUAUCUUUAUACAAGAAAAACAGUUCUUCAUUUGUAAACGUCUUAUGAGAGUUGACUAUAAACAUAUCAGAGCUGAAGGAGGGGGUUUAGGACGAUAAUUUAUGAUUAAAUGCCAUCUUUUAAUCCAGCUGUGGGGAGUUGCCUGUAAAACUGCCCCUUUUCACUCUAAAAUUCACUCCAAUCAUUUGUAUACUCACUGAUUUACAUAGCUGGAAGAUUUGCCUCCUGAAAUAGGAGCCUUUUUUUUUUUUUUUUU